rnacentral:tRNA from 1 species
GGAGAGGUGGAUGAGCGGUUUAAGUCGCACGCCUGGAAAGCGUGUUUGGGCUAAUCCCCACCGCGGGUUCGUAGCCCGCCCUCUCGGCCA